rnacentral:rRNA from 1 species
CACCCCUCGAAUUGACCAUAUGAGGGGCUCUGCCUGCCCAGUGACUAAGGUUUAACGGCCGCGGUAUCUUAACCGUGCAAAGGUAGCAUAAUCAUUUGUCUCCUAAAUAGAGACUGGUAUGAAUGGCAAGACGGAGCUAAACUGUCUCUUUUUUUUAUACUGAAAUUUACUUCCACGUGAAGAGGCGUGAAUAAAAUCGCCAGACGAGAAGACCCUGUCGAGCUUACAGCAAAAACUAGAACCCAUUUUUAAAGUUUUAAGAUACUAAUUAACAGAAUUAUAGCGACGAUACUUUAAGGUUUCUAACCAAGCUUUGGUUGGGGCAACCGCGGAAAAAGAAAAUCUUCCGCUACGUAAUAAAACUAAGGGAAUCUACCCUAUUAUUAAAACAAAAUAUGAUCCACCUUGGUGAUCAAAGGAACAAGUUACCGCAGGGAUAACAGCGUUAUCUUUUUUGAGAGUUCACAUUGACGAAAAGGUUUGCGACCUCGAUGUUGGAUCGGGACAUCCAAAGGGUGCAGAAGCUCUUAAAGGUUGGUCUGUUCGACCAUUAAAGUCCUACGUGAUCUGAGUUCAGACCGGCGAAAGC